UACGGAGGAUGCAAGCGUUAUCCGGAUUCACUGGGUUUAAAGGGUGCGUAGGUGGGUUGGUAAGUCAGUGGUGAAAUCUCCAGGCUUAACUUGGAAACUGCCAUUGAUACUAUCAAUCUUGAAUACCGUGGAGGUCAGCGGAAUAUGCCAUGUAGCGGUGAAAUGCUUAGAUAUGACAUAGAACACCAAUUGCGAAGGCAGCUGGCUACACGAAUAUUGACACUGAUGCACGAAAGCGUGGGGAUCAAACAGG
rnacentral:rRNA from 1 species